UCAGAUCUCGAGUUUUUUUUCUUCAUGUGAUAUUUUUGUAAAAUGGGGGAAUUUUUGCUAAUUAUGCUUAGUAAAAUUUUCAGUUGGGAAUUUUGACUCUUGACAUUUCUUCACUGAACAUAGCUCAAAUUGUACUGUUCUUUUCCAUGUUUUGAUUGUAGGGAACUGUUAAAGUGAACUGAAUUGACUCUUUCCUCAUGAUCAAAUAAAAAAUGGGCCUUGAUUGAGUUUUGCUGCCUUGAUUUAGUUGAUUUUGAUUCUUCACUCUUGUUUAGUUUGGGGCAUAAGGCAUGCAUUAGGUGCUAGAAUCCUUAUAUUGCUUCAGCUAUAAGGCACAAGAAAAGCAGAACCAAGUGCUGGUAAACAUUUGGACCAAGUUCGAGUCCUCAAGUCAUUAUUAUUUAGAGGGUUUUAUUUGAAUGCCACCCUGCCCGAACAUGAGUAGUCUUAGACCACCUGUAGUUAUAACAACAAAAAAAAAAACAUGUUCCUAGGCACACUAGGUGUCAACCUAAUGAAAUAUGCCUUGCCCGAAAGAGUCUCUGAGGUGCUUUUGUUGUUCGUUGCUAAGGAGUAUUCCUUCUAACAAUGCUUGUUCAAGGUUGUCAUUUUCGCCUCUUUCACGGUUAUUCCGCCUGCUCCGCAUGUAUGUUACUUGAUUACUAGAUUGUGGUUUUGUAACAUUAUUGUAACUUGUAAUGAAUCUUCUCUACAAUUGUUUUUAGUCUGUGUCACAAAGCUUGCAUUUGCAACAAUGAACAUCAUUAUUAAAAAGUUGUUCAUGUAGGUAAUGAUGAGGCCGAUUGAGUGGAUAAGUUGAAAUUUCGUAGAUCUGUGGCUGUCCAACCAUAACUACAAGCCCAUACUGUCUAUAUGGUUUAGAUACCUGCAAUCUGCAGAAAUCGUAUGACAAAUUUCUUAAUUUCUCCUUAACUCGGCAUCUGUUGUUUCAACAUUUCUGAUAAAGUACCCCCUGGUUUCAUACAAGUUGUCAAUUAAAUGAGUGUAGAGAAGAAAUGAAAGAGAGAAAGAAAGAAAAAGGAAAGUUCUUUUCCCACCUGCGGAUAUCUGAGUAAGGUUGGGAUCUUGGAUUUGCCUCUUUACUAAAUUCCAAUUCAGGUAGACUUUUUUGGGAAGAUGAUAGUAAAUACCAGCAGGUGCAGAAGAUGGGUAUUCAUCAUUGAUGAUGAGCUGUUUAUUUUCAAGUUAUGAGACAUACUAUUGACUUGCGUGAGAUGCCAUAAUUAACUGUUUUAGAGAUGGACUAGCUAUGUCAAUAUAUAUUCAUUCUCCUUGGAAGACUUGUAUGUGCCCAUCAAAUGAUGAGGAAAAUGGGCAAAUUAGUUCUUAUACGUCAGAUCAAAGAGCAAACUGGUCCCUACAUUAAAAUUUCCAACCAUUUCUUCUGUUAAAAACUGGCAUUUAUAUGUUAGCGUGACGUACACAUGGCACGUCACAUGCCAUUGUCUAGUUAUUCUGUCAGAGACGCAAGUUUUUAACAGUAAAUAGAUGAAAAUUUUAACAUAAAAAACGAAUUUUCUCUUUGAUUAAAUGUACGAAGACCAGUUUGCCCAUUUUUUUAAUCGAGGGCCUUUAUGGUACAAGGGCCAAUUUUUAAUAGGGGCCUAGUACAGAGAGGCCUUUAUGGUACUUUUACCCAUAAUUAACUGUUUUCGAGGUGGAUUAGCUAUGUAUAUACAUAUAUAUUCAUUCUCCGUAGAAGACUUGUAUGUGCUUGUUAAAUGAUUAGGAAUUCUACAACUAUAUGUUUUCGAUGAAUCAACUAAGCAACAAAUGCACUUUGUCGUUGUAUAAUUCAGCCAAUAUAUGUAAUUAUGCUGCAAGUGUGUAACCAAAUUACGAUGUUGUCUAAGCCAAAAGUUCUUGAAGCUGUUGGGGAACAUUUUGUAACAUGUUCUUUUGAUGUUUGACAGAAAAACAUUCGGAAAGUACAUUUGAUUCAAUAACAUGCUCUUGUAUUGUGAUCUUUCUCUUCCGGCAG
rnacentral:lncRNA from 1 species